rnacentral:rRNA from 1 species
AAUCAAGCAAGACUACUCCCUGAAUUUAAGCAUAUUAUUAAGGGAAGGAAAAGAAAAUAACUAUGAUACCCGCAGUAAUGGCGAAUGAAGUGGGUAAAGCUCAAGCUUAAAAUCUAGUCUCUUUUGAGAUUCGAAUUGUAGUGUAAAUUAACAUUAAUAUGGUCAUGAUAAUUGCCUAAGUGUGAACAUCUGAAUUUCCUAUCAAAGACGGUGAUAAUCCGGUAUGGUAGUUUGAUUGGCUAAAUAUUCUUGUUAUUUAAAGAGUCGAGUUGUUUGGGAUUGCAACUCUAAUAAAGGUGAUAGAUUUCAUCUAAAGCUAAAUAUAUUAGGAAAACCGAUAGCAAAGAAGUACUGUGAAGGAAAGGUGAAAAGAACUUUGAAAAGAGAGUUAAAAGUGCUUGAAAUUGUUAAAAGGGAAGC